CAAUGUGUAGCUAAAUAAAAUAGCAUCUCCCUUACACUGAGAAAUCCCCUGUGUAAUUCAGGGCACACUGA
rnacentral:tRNA from 1 species